rnacentral:rRNA from 1 species
CCUGAUGCAGCGACGCCGCGUGAGGGAUGACGGCCUUCGGGUUGUAAACCUCUUUCACCAGGGACGAAGCUAGAGUGACGGUACCUGGAGAAGAAGCACCGGCCAACUACGUGCCAGCAGCCGCGGUAAUACGUAGGGUGCGAGCGUUGUCCGGAAUUACUGGGCGUAAAGAGCUCGUAGGCGGUUUGUCGCGUCGUCUGUGAAAUUCUGCAACUCAAUUGCAGGCGUGCAGGCGAUACGGGCAGACUUGAGUACUACAGGGGAGACUGGAAUUCCUGGUGUAGCGGUGAAAUGCGCAGAUAUCAGGAGGAACACCGGUGGCGAAGGCGGGUCUCUGGGUAGUAACUGACGCUGAGGAGCGAAAGCGUGGGUAGCGAACAGGAUUAGAUACCCUGGUAGUCCACGCCGUAAACGGUGGGUACUAGGUGUGGGUUCCUUUUCACGGGAUCCG